rnacentral:rRNA from 1 species
UACAGAGGGUGCGAGCGUUAAUCGGAAUUACUGGGCGUAAAGCGUGCGUAGACGGCUAUCUAAGUCGGGUGUGAAAGCCCCGGGCUCAACCUGGGAAUUGCAUUCGAGACUGAAUAGCUAGGGUACGGUAGAGGGAAGUGGAAUUUCCGGUGUAGCGGUGAAAUGCGUAGAUAUCGGAAAGGAACAUCAGUGGCGAAAGCGACUUCCAUGGACCAGUACCG